rnacentral:rRNA from 1 species
UAGUCCACGCUGUAAACGAUGAGUGCAAGGUGUUGGGGGUCAAACCUCGGUGCCGCCGUUAACACAGUAAGCACUCCGCCUGGGGAGUACGUACGCAAGUAUGAAACUCAAAGGAAUUGACGGGGACCCGCACAAGUAGCGGAGCAUGUGGUUUAAUUCGAUGCAACGCGAAGAACCUUACCAGGGCUUGACAUAAAAGUGACGAAGGAUAGAGAUAUACCUUUUCUCUUCGGAGACAGUUUUAC